rnacentral:misc_RNA from 1 species
UCCGGUUUGUCACCGGCAGUCUCAUUAGAGUGCCCUUGCGUAGCAACUAAUGAUAAGGGUUGCGCUCGUUGCGGGACUUAACCCAACAUCUCACGACACGAGCUGACGACAGCCAUGCAGCACCUGUGCACGGGCUCCGAAGAGGGGCCCCCGUUUCUGAGGGCUUUCCCGUGUAUGUCGAGCCUAGGUAAGGUUCUCCGCGUUGCGUCGAAUUAAACCACAUGCUCCACCGCUUGUGCGGGCCCCCGUCAAUUCCUUUGAGUUUCAGCCUUGCGGCCGUACUCCCCAGGCGGGGCACUUAAUGCGUUAGCUGCGGUACUGAGAAAUCGCUUCCCCAACACCUAGUUGACAUCGUUUAGGGCGUGGACUAC